rnacentral:rRNA from 1 species
AAAUUGAAGAGUUUGAUCAUGGCUCAGAUUGAACGCUGGCGGCAGGCCUAACACAUGCAAGUCGAACGGUAACAGGAAGCAGCUUGCUGCUUCGCUGACGAGUGGCGGACGGGUGAGUAAUGUCUGGGAAACUGCCUGAUGGAGGGGGAUAACUACUGGAAACGGUGGCUAAUACCGCAUAACGUCGCAAGACCAAAGAGGGGGACCUUCGGGCCUCUUGCCAUCAGAUGUGCCCAGAUGGGAUUAGCUUGUUGGUGAGGUAACGGCUCACCAAGGCGACGAUCCCUAGCUGGUCUGAGAGGAUGACCAGCCACACUGGAACUGAGACACGGUCCAGACUCCUACGGGAGGCAGCAGUGGGGAAUAUUGCACAAUGGGCGCAAGCCUGAUGCAGCCAUGCCGCGUGUAUGAAGAAGGCCUUCGGGUUGUAAAGUACUUUCAGCGGGGAGGAAGGUGUUGCGGUUAAUAACCGCAGCAAUUGACGUUACCCGCAGAAGAAGCACCGGCUAACUCCGUGCCAGCAGCCGCGGUAAUACGGAGGGUGCAAGCGUUAAUCGGAAUUACUGGGCGUAAAGCGCACGCAGGCGGUCUGUCAAGUCGGAUGUGAAAUCCCCGGGCUCAACCUGGGAACUGCAUUCGAAACUGGCAGG